UACGUAGGGUGCAAGCGUUGUCCGGAAUUAUUGGGCGUAAAGGGCUCGUAGGCGGUCCAUCACGUCGGGAGUGAAAAGCUGGGGCUUAACCCCAGUCCUGCUUCCGAUACGGGUGGACUAGAGGUAGGCAGGGGAGAACGGAAUUCCUGGUGUAGCGGUGAAAUGCGUAGAUAUCAGGAGGAACACCGGUGGUGUAGACGGCUCUCUGGACCGUAACUGACGCUGAGGAGCGAAAGCGUGGGGAGCGAACAGG
rnacentral:rRNA from 1 species